AACGAACGCUGGCGGCAUGCCUAACACAUGCAAGUCGAACGAGACCUUCGGGUCUAGUGGCGCACGGGUGCGUAACGCGUGGGAACCUGCCCUUAGGUUCGGAAUAACUCCCCGAAAGGGGUGCUAAUACCGGAUAAUGUCUUCGGACCAAAGAUUUAUCGCCUUUGGAUGGGCCCGCGUUGGAUUAGCUAGUUGGUAGGGUAAAAGCCUACCAAGGCGACGAUCCAUAGCUGGUCUGAGAGGAUGAUCAGCCACACUGGGACUGAGACACGGCCCAGACUCCUACGGGAGGCAGCAGUGGGGAAUAUUGGAAAAUGGGCGAAAGCCUGAUCCAGCAAUGCCGCGUGAGUGAUGAAGGCCUUAGGGUUGUAAAGCUCUUUUACCCGGGAUGAUAAUGACAGUACCGGGAGAAUAAGCACCGGCUAACUUCGUG
rnacentral:rRNA from 1 species